rnacentral:lncRNA from 1 species
AUGUCAUACAUAUUUAAAACCUUGUUUUGUUCACCUAAUGCUUUGUUUUUGCCUAAUGCUUUGUUAAUGCUUUGCUCAUUGCUUCACACAGGCAGAACAAUGAUAACAGACAAGCAAAAACAAUCUUUAAAACACUUUUUUGAAAAAGGAAUGAGAAGUGUUGGGUCUCCAUUGGUACAAGCAGCUGCUGAAACCACUGCGUUGCUGCCUUCUAUCAUAGAGAAUUGGAUUGGAAAUUUUAAACGAACGUUGCAAGGACCUUCUAAAGUGAGACCCAUGAAAAACAAGCUGUAUAAACGAAACCUAUCACCAUACAAUCUUUUUUGUAGAGACCAUCUGCAAAACAAAGGUAAAAGAGCUGGCGUGAUCAAUGUCUUAUUUCAUAGCAUAUGUAGUAUAUUUAUAAAGUAAGUAUUUAUUUAAACAGUAUGUUAUCACAGUUGUUUAUAUUUCACCAUUGAAACCUAUGGCAAAAAAAUAUAUUUUAUAGAUUAUGAUGUUUAAACAUAUUUCACAUAUUCAUGGCUAACAGGAAAUACUGUGGGAACAGGCCAAAUUAUAUUUUCUCUAUGAUUUUGAGGAUUCAUUCUAGUCAAAGGUUAUGUCUCUAAGUCUAAGUGUCUCAACUUUCUACUAAUACUCUACUACUACUACUACUACUACUACUACUACUACUACUACUACUACUCACAAUAACCACUUCCAAACUUUAAUACUGUUCUUUCAGGUUUUGCUGUUGUCUUUCUGUGUUUAUCUGCAUGUAAAAAACAUCACAUUAAUUUCUUUUAUUCUCAGGAACAUUGAAGGAAUUAAGCAAAAGUGGCCUAUGUUAGGGGAAGAGGAAAAAAAAGACAGGACAAAGAAGCGAGAUGCGGCUAGGGCAGAAGAAACAUGGUCAGAACCGG